rnacentral:rRNA from 1 species
GCGGCAACAGCUCAAAUUUGAAAUCUGCGUCUUUGCGUCGAGUUGUAAUUUGCAGAGGGCGCUUUGGCAUUGGCAGCGGUCCAAGUUCCUUGGAACAGGACGUCACAGAGGGUGAGAAUCCCGUACGUGGUCGCUAGCCUUUACCGUGUAAAGCCCCUUCGACGAGUCGAGUUGUUUGGGAAUGCAGCUCUAAAUGGGAGGUAAAUUUCUUCUAAAGCUAAAUACUGGCCAGAGACCGAUAGCGCACAAGUAGAGUGAUCGAAAGAUGAAAAGCACUUUGGAAAGAGAGUUAAAAAGCACGUGAAAUUGUUGAAAGGGAAGCGCUUGCAGCCAGACUUGCCUGUAGUUGCUCAUCCGGGUUUUUACCCGGUGCACUCUUCUAUAGGCAGGCCAGCAUCAGUUUGGGCGGUUGGAUAAAGGUCUCUGUCAUGUACCUCUCUUCGGGGAGAACUUAUAGGGGAGACGACAUGCAACCAGCCUGGACUGAGGUCCGCGCAUCUGCUAGGAUGCUGGCGUAAUGGCUGUAAGCGGCCCGUCUUGAAACACGGACCAAGGAGUCUAACAUCUAUGCGAGUGUUUGGGUGUCAAGCCCGAGCGCGUAAUGAAAGUGAACGGAGGUGGGAACCUUUCGGGGUGCACCAUCGACCGAUCCUGAUGUCUUCGGAUGGAUUUGAGUAAGAGCAUAGCUGUUGGGACCCGAAAGAUGGUGAACUAUGCUUGAAUAGGGUGAAGCCAGAGGAAACUCUGGUGGAGGCUCGCAGCGGUUCUGACGUGCAAAUCGAUCGU